CCGAAAGUAACGUUUCAUAGAAACGAAUUUUUGAAAUCAUAGUAACGACUUCUUAAAUUGUAUUUCAUUUUUCAGCAGGGAUGAAAUGGCACGAAUACGUCACUGUACUUAACGUGUCUGCAAAUGGAACUAAGGAAUGUUAGCAAAAAAAUAAUAAUAAACUUUCAGGUACAAAUCCUCCAUGCAUAAACCUGUCUGAUUUUGUUGGUUUUUUGUUUUUUUUUUUUGGUUUUUUUUUUUUUUGUUAUCUUUAUUUUGGUAUCUCUGUUAAAAUAUUAGAGCUAGGUUACUUCCCGUUAAAACUACUGGCUGACCAUGUUAGAUGACAGAGCGCAGGUUCUCUUGGCCUUGUCUGCAGCCUCUCUAGCGCGCUGGCUGGCCUCUGUCUGGUCCAGUCGUGCAAGGCGUGACCGUUUUGUCAGGGUUGGGGAGGUAUCGGAAUUAUAUCUAUUUCCAGUAAAAUCUUGCCAAGGGAUUCCCCUACGAAAGGCUAGGACAGAGGUCACGGGACUGGAAUCGGACGGACUACAUGACAGACAAUGGAUGUUGAUGAGACCAAACGGAGAAUACGUCUCCCAGAGGCACUUCCCAAAGUUGGCUCUUGUCCGAGUGUCCAGUCACCAGAACGACAUUCACCUGGACGCUCCAGACCAGCCCACUCUGAUACUACAGAAAAAUCCCCCGGUGGAUACGUCCAGCUUCAUUAUGGCUAAUGUAACAGGAGUUUCUAUUCUGGCCAUGGACUGUGGUGAUCAAGCUGGUCUCUGGUUCCAAACCUUUCUACAGAGAGAGGGAUUUCGAUUGGUUGUGUCUUUGUGUUCUAUGCCAAAGAGAGAAACAGCAGACAAGGAAAGACCCUGGGGAAAUCCUGCCAAAAUUGGUGAUCUGUGUACAUUCUCGGACAACUGCCCGUACAUGUUGAUGACUGAGGCUUCUUUGGAUGCUCUCAAUAUGCGUCUGACGAAAAAAGUUGGUUUCAAAACUUUCCGACCAAGCAUUGUCAUUUCUGGAUGUGAGGCAUUUGCAGAGGAUUGGUGGGAAGAACUAAGAAUCGGUGACACCAGCUCAGUGAAUUUCAGAAUUCUGGAUCCCUGUACUAAGUGCAUUUUGCCAAACGUUAAUCCUGACACAGGAGAGAGAAACCAAGAUAAGGAACCACUACAGACCCUCAAAAAAUAUUGAGUACCAGAACCCACUAAGAAAAAGAGACCCUAGGAAAACCAGACAUUUCCUCUACGAUUUCGUUGUUUUCCGCCGUACGGAAGAGACCCAAUCUUUGGAGUGAAUGCUGCUCUUGACAACACAGGGACCAUACAGGUCGGGGACCCCGUGUACGCUAUCCGAAAGUGAGGCUGUGAUCUACCACAGGAACCUGGACAGACAUUGGAUAUAUAUAAUUAUAUGUGAUGAUGUCGCCAUUCUGACCUAAAUGCUGUUUUCUAUUUCUGGAUGGGGUUCUGUAUAUACAUAUAUAGAGGACAACAUUAAAAUCAUAUUCUAAGCAAUAAAAGAUUGAAAACAGGUACAUAGAGUGGCAUAAA